UAGGGAAUCUUCGGCAAUGGACGGAAGUCUGACCGAGCAACGCCGCAUGAGUGAAGAAGGUUUUCGGAUCGUAAAGCUCUGUUGUAAGAGAAGAACGAGUGUGAGAGUGGAAAGUUCACACUGUGACGGUAUCUUACCAGAAAGGGACGGCUAACUACGUGCCAGCAGCCGCGGUAAUACGUAGGUCCCGAGCGUUGUCCGGAUUUAUUGGGCGUAAGGCGAGCGCAGGCGGUUAGAUAAGUCUGAAGUUAAAGGCUGUGGCUUAACCAUAGUAGGCUUUGGAAACUGUUUAACUUGAGUGCAAGAGGGGAGAGUGGAAUUCCAUGUGUAGCGGUGAAAUGCGUAGAUAUAUGGAGGAACACCGGUGGCGAAAGCGGCUCUCUGGCUUGUAACUGACGCUGAGGCUCGAAAGCGUGGGGAGCAAACAGGAUUAGAUACCCUGGUAGUCCACGCUGUAAACGAUGAGUGCUAGGUGUUAGACCCUUUCCGGGGUUUAGUGCCGUAGCUAACGCAUUAAGCACUCCGCCUGGGGAGUACGACCGCAAGGUUG
rnacentral:rRNA from 1 species